rnacentral:rRNA from 1 species
UUGAACGCUGGCGGCAGGCCUAACACAUGCAAGUCGAGCGGAUGAAGGGAGCUUGCUCCUGGAUUCAGCGGCGGACGGGUGAGUAAUGCCUAGGAAUCUGCCUGGUAGUGGGGGAUAACGUCCGGAAACGGGCGCUAAUACCGCAUACGUCCUGAGGGAGAAAGUGGGGGAUCUUCGGACCUCACGCUAUCAGAUGAGCCUAGGUCGGAUUAGCUAGUUGGUGGGGUAAAGGCCUACCAAGGCGACGAUCCGUAACUGGUCUGAGAGGAUGAUUAGUCACACUGGAACUGAGACACGGUCCAGACUCCUACGGGAGGCAGCAGUGGGGAAUAUUGGACAAUGGGCGAAAGCCUGAUCCAGCCAUGCCGCGUGUGUGAAGAAGGUCUUCGGAUUGUAAAGCACUUUAAGUUGGGAGGAAGGGCAGUAAGUUAAUACCUUGCUGUUUUGACGUUACCAACAGAAUAAGCACCGGCUAACUUCGUG